rnacentral:rRNA from 1 species
UACGUAGGGGGCAAGCGUUGUCCGGAUUUAUUGGGCGUAAAGAGCGUGUAGGCGGCUAGGUAGGUCCGUUGUGAAAACUCGAGGCUCAACCUCGAGCUGUCGAUGGAAACCAUCUGGCUAGAGUCCGGAAGAGGAGAGUGGAAUUCCUGGUGUAGCGGUGGAAUGCGCAGAUAUCAGGAGGAACACCCAUAGCGAAGGCAGCUUGCUGGGACGUUACUGACGCUAAGGCGCGAAAGCGUGGGGAGCGAACAGG